rnacentral:other from 1 species
AAUGACCUGCCCGACGCGCGGACCGUGCACAAAUAACCCUACACUCAAACUUUCGGGAGCCCGGCUCCGCAGGCGGACUGCAGACCUCCCGGUGCGGCUUUGACCGUUAUCGGACGAAGGGAGCGCGAACCCUGUGGGAGGGCACCCACCUGCUUUUUCGUAGCAGGUUAUUGAGAGCACGUUACGGUCGGGCGGGGAUUUU